GGAGAAAACAAGCUGGCCAAAUAUUUCUAACAAAUUACACUAGAGUCAACAAUAGUAAACGACUCACUAAACUGUGCAUAACUGUGUUAUGUCUUUAAAACAUAACACAGUCCCUGUGAACUAGAGGAGCCUCUACGUCAGAAUUGUGUGGACGGAGUAAUCCAGCUGCAGCCAUAGAUAGAUAGCACACCAUCUGUGACACUUAUCAGUUAAAAAUGUUAACCAUCGCUCCCAUGAUAAUGGCCAACCCACUCUCUCGACUUCUGUCUUCUGAAGGAAACACUAACACAAUCAUACUACAAUGAUACAAUACAGAGAGAUAGAGAGACAGAGAAACAGAGACAGAGGCAGAGACAGAGAGAUACAGAAACUAUGGCCAGCACCAGAGAGAGAAUGUGCCUACACUAUGGCGGGGGUGUAGUGGAGACAAGCUUUCCCACGCCAGACUUGGAGUGUGCAUGUGCACACGUGACUCCUGGUACCACUGCCAGACUGUGGGACUAGGCACAGACUUGGGUCCAGACAGCGCAUGCUCUACUCACUUCCUCUGUCUGUACCUCACAGCACCUGGGUCUGGAAGUGGGGCGGGGGGAAGAGGGAGGGUUCUAAAGAUGACACUUAGGAUGUUGCCAGCCUUGAUUUGGGUUUGAGUUCUAGGCACCGGGAACUCUCAUUGUUAUACAACCAGGCAGCCGGCAGGAUGGAAAGAAAAACGAAUUAUGUCUGCUUAGGAAGCCGGAGCAGUACAUUUCCUGUGAUUGAAAUCUCAAGGGUAACUUUUGGUGUUUAUGUGGCAGGGCCUUUUGACAGCAGUCUUAAAAGUUUUUAAAGUUAAACUGGGCUUCAUUUGAGUCCAGGAGGACAUUGGCUCAGGACUCUGGCAAGGGACUUACCACCUCUUGAUAACUCUUGAAUGGACUUACCUAGGCCUGGUUGACCAAUGGCAUUGCCUCCUGGACCCUAGGAACACGACUAUCCAUGUAACUUAACAUCAUUUAUACCCAAAGAGUGGGUAUUCAGUUGUCAUUCAGUUUUAAGUGUUCUAUCUCCGCAAAGCAUGGGAACAGCCAAGCUUGGCAGGUGAUGCCUGUUUGAGGCUCCCUGCAUAGCUCAAGGGCAAGACCUACUCCAGAAGCACCACACUGGGGCGACAGAGCAGAGCCUCAAACUCUGAGGGACACAGGACUUGGGAAGAUGGCAAAUGCUGUCUUGCGGCAUAUGAGUAUGGGAGCAGGACACAGGGAUGAGUGAAUUGCCUUCUGAGUUGGGUGGGCAGAUGGGUAGAGAGGUUAUAAGUUGUACAUGAGUACAAGAUAAUGUACUUUGAGUCUAGAUAAGAUUUGCUAGUCUUUUAUUUCUUAGUGAGGUGACAUCAGAAGAUUUAUAUACUGCUCCAAAACCAACCAGUCCAACUCUAAAACAGGUAUGACAUUACUUGCCUGGCAUGUUUGUUGCCGGAAUCGCCCCCGAGGCCUGUAGAGUACCAGGCAGGUGGUAAGCCCUCAGCAAAGAGAACAGCUUUUUGUGUGUAUAAGUGGUGUCUAGAAAAUCCUACAGGUAUUCCUGGGAUGCGAGCCAGGCUCAAGAAAGGAGCAGACUGAGUUGGAAGAGGAGGAAGGAACAGGGUGGUUUCUGAUGCAGGAGAACCAGCGCCUAGAGCGUUGGAGGCUUGUGAGUUACUUGGGGCUGCUACAGAGUCAUGGGGCUCGAUGGGCGAAUCAGAGCCUGAACAGUAACCAUGCCAAGGAGUUUCCCUGGAUCUCAGCAGAGAUUUCUGGAAGGUUCAGAGGGAACUAGGAAGGCUCCCAGGGCCCCGUUCUUCUGCAGGCAACACCCUUUCUUCUGAGUUUGCCAACAUCCGGACUUCCUCUGAACUGAACUGGGAAGUUCUGUUGUUAACUAUUUAUAGUUCUUUACCUUUUAUAAGUAACCCCGACUUCCUGUGUCCACAACAGCUGCAGGAUCCCGGCCGGCCGUGAGCUCUCUUCCAUCCCCAGGGAGCAGCUAUAAGGCUGCCACAGACAGAAGCUCUCAGAUGACAGGAAAUCUGGAUGUAGAACUCUCAGCUACCCCUCCAGCUCCAUGUCUCUCUGCCGUAAUGAUACUGGACUAAACCUUUGAACUGAGUUGAUGAAUCUGCGCUCAAGCCCUUGAAGUGCACUGGGCUGGGUUCAAGAGACAUGCCUUUAAAGACUGGCUGCCUUUGGAGAGUCACUUCGUGUUCUAGUCCAUAGUUGUCCUAUCUGGAAGAAGAGGCCAGUCUUGCCUUUUUCAGAGCAUGCUGCAAUGACGAAGCCGAUGGGUAUAUGUGAAAAUGCCCUAGAAACUAUAAAGGAAUGCGAAAGCUCUAAAGGAAAGCCCACUCUGCAGUUAUCCCAGAUAGCCUACUCUGACUCUAAAGGGGAAUAAGCAUUGUUUAAAGCCAAGUGUACUGACACUCUGUGCUGAAACCCAAGUGGUCAACAAGAUGACUGGGAUGCCCAGCUGGGCUUCAGGAGGGCUUCACUGCUUUGUGCUUGCCCAUUUGGAGAUGCUGUGGUCCUUGGAUGCCUGUGUUAGUUUCCCUCGCCCUCUUGGGUGUGUCUGAGACAGCAGCUUUGCUGCUUUGGCUUUCGAAUCCCUCACAGCGUGUUAGCAUCUGGCCUUGCUUCCCUUCCACACUCUGGGCUGUGUUUAGACUGCACUGUCUGCUUUCAAGUCACGGGCUUCCCAACGCCCAGACAUUUCACAGUCCCCUCUACUUGAAUCACGUAAGUCUGGCCCUCGGGUCCAAGCAGUGCAUGGGUGUGUCUCACACAAGAGAACAAUCAACAAGAUUAAGUUACUUUUGAGUUCCUAAUUGAUUUUCCAGAACUCCCUCUUCCUAUCACAAAAUACAGCUUUCUGAGCAGUGUGGUCUAAUGCUGCAAGGUGUGGAGGUGGAUGAGAUUUAGGAAAGCAGAUACAUUCUGGAAAUAAAAGGGCUUUCACAUGUAAAUGAAUAAUUGACAUGCUUCGCCUCCCAAUAACAUUUAUUGUUUGCAGUCACCAAACCCAAUGCCAAGACAGAUUUUUGUGUUUUAGGCUACAAAAUUUGGAGAGUUGCUCAAAUUCUUUUCAUCCCUGGAGUUUUGUUUAUAUUGAAUGUGAUGUAUUGAAAGAAUUUUUUUUACCAUGUUUUGGCAUUAUUUUGAAAUACAAAUUAGAUAAGGCUAAUUGUAAUAAUUGUUUUUAGUUAUUAUGACUCGGUAUAGUUUCCUUGAUUCUUGUUAAUGUGUAGUUAUACCUUUUAUUUAAAAAAAAAUCUAUCUCUUUCCUUGCUUA